rnacentral:lncRNA from 1 species
AGUCUUAAACACAGGAGGCUAAGACAGGAAGACAGCAAGCUCAAGACCAGCCUCCACUACAUAAAGAGACCCUAUCUCCAAGUGAUAACUUUCCAGCCACACUUCAUUGUAGGGCAUUUAAAAUCAUUAAAAAGUGUAGUUAUUCGUAGAGGAUGGGGAUGGAGAGGUGGCUCAGUGGUUAAGAGUGUGUGAUGCUCUCGCAGAAGACCCAAGUGUGGUUCCCAGCACUCACGUGGUAAAGAUAACAACUUCCUGUGACUCUGGCUCUGGAGUGAUCUGGUGCCAGCUGUCUGAUGCUCCUGACCUGUGCAGGCACAGGCCCACACAGGCACAUCUACACACAACACAUGGCAAAAAAAAAGUCAAAAUCAAUACUUUAAAUUGGAAGUGGGUUCCGAAAUAUAACCAAACCAGGACCCAACAGUGUUCUCCCAUGGUUGUGUGUGUGUGUGUGUUCCAUGACUGUGUUCCUCAAUUAAUAUUGGGCACCAGCUUGAUGCUGCAUCUCUGAAACUAGUCCCAGGUUAAGUAAUUCCAAUGAUGGGGGAUUAUUGCACUAAUUUGUAAUAUAUUCAGAAGCAUUAGGUAGAGACUAGAUGAUUUUUAGAAUCAGGUAUAUCUCUUUCUUAUGUUUUCAGAACCUCGGUGGAGGCCACACAUUUCUAGUGUAGUUUUAGCCCUGGGGUGUGUAGGGCAGCAGGCACUUGCUGCAAGAGAUACAUGGAAGUUGUCGACUGCCUUAGAGAUCAGUGAAUUCCUUCCUGGCAUGGCCUUGGCUCAGGAGGACGCAGAAAGGCUGACCUUUUUUUCCAGUUACCUACUAAUUGCUAUUCUUUAGGUUUUGGUUAGCUCCUAACUGAAAUCUUCAGUGUUUCAGAACAUGGUGGGUUCUCAGGAAUCUUUGCAGAGCUUCUGUUGAGGUGCGACAGACUGGGGAACACCCCAUCUUACGCUCUCUAGUGGUAAGUUACUUAAGGGGUAGAUGCCAUGCUUGUGUUUGACAAAUUCUUAAUGUCUGUUCCACAUGGGGCUGGGUGGCAGGCAGACGGUUGGCCUUGUCACCCCCAGUUUUCAUCUCAUGGUCUUUCUGGUCACAGUCUCAUUGUGCCACCAUUAAAUCCUCGAAGGAUUUUACCGAAGCAUCCUGAGAAUGUCUGUCUUAAACACGGCUUGGUUUUUCAGGAUACCCAAGUCAAGAUCAUCUGUCCCUCACCCAGCGAUCCCCUUCUCUUCUGCACACUCUUUUUCCCAGGACCUUAAGGUUACUCCACUAACAGUUAAAAUCCCCCCACCUUCUCUGAGUAAUUGAAAGCACUUGUCUAUGUAUUCUGGGCAUGUGAGGACCUAACCCGGGAGCUCAGGAAGAGACCAUUUGGGCAAUGUUUAAGAAUCUCAUUGGGGCAGUUUAGAAGAGGAAACAAUGCCCUUCUGCAUAUGAGGCUCUGAGCACAGAAGGGAGAAUGCACACCUUGUGGCUAUUGGCUCACCACAUCUGUGCACAUCUCCCCAGUCUGCAAAGGGUGGUGAGUACAGGUCACAGUGACUCUAGGGCAGCCGGCCACAGACCGCAGCAGCAUCAGAACCAGAAAGGAGAAGAUGCAGACCUGGCAGUGUCCCUUCCCUGUGGUCCCACCUUCCCUAUUUCCUUGAUGCCUUCUGUGGCUGCCUGGCCAGUAUGUAUGGCCACAGGCCUGUCGGAUUGGUUAUACCUGUGACUGAUGAAUUGUUUCCCCAAAUCUGUGUGAAGUUUAUGCAUACACCAAGCUGAAAGAGAAGCUCAUGUGUUCACUGGUGGCUGGAUCAGCACCUGGGGCUGCGCACUGCUUGGAUCACAGUAUCUAGGAAAUAGGGUUCCUUCAGUCUCUGGGCUGAAUCAUAUACCCUGGUGCACUGUCAGUAUUUCACCUGUUCAAAAUUAGUGUGUCAGGCAUGGUAGCACAUGCCUGUAAUCUUGCCAGGAACAUGGAGGCAGGAAGAUUGUGAGUCUGAGGCCAGCCUGGGCUGCAUAUCAGGACCUUAUCCCAGGAAACCCAAACAAACAAAAACCAGUGAAGCCAAAGUUUAUAUAGUAAGCUUUUAGGAACAAAAGAAGUUCAGAGAAGUGACAACUGGGAAUUCCUCCUUCUUAAAUAUAGAAAUUAGCAGGUCUUACUUCAGAGGGAGGUGUGGAUAGACAUAUCCUGGUUGGCAUAAGGGGGAUAAAUAUCCAGUGUUUGGGAUAUUUCUUUCCUGUUCUUGUUUAUGGAGAGAGACUGGCAUAGACCUAAUAACCAACUUGUUGAUCUGCUGUGCCCUAUUUCAAUCUUCCUGGCAGAUGCAAACAUCUUCCAUCUUUGUAUUCACCCAUCUGUCACACAUAAUGUGUUUGCUGCCUGUGAGUUCCAACUUCUUCAGAACUGUCGGCUUCCUGGCCAGAGUGCCAUCCAGCAGUGAGAUCCCAGUGCCCCCCAAAUGAAUUAUGAAAAGCUUUUCAUAGUAAUAUAAUUGAUCCACUGUUGGCCACACUUAUUAAAAAAAAUCAAUGUAUCAUGUUAAUAUUUCAUGAAUGCCCACGUUGCCAACGUCUUGCAAUGGGACUCGACUAUAAAGAAUAGGAAUUGUUUCCCAAUAGUGGAGCACAUGGCCAGAGUGCCAGGAAAAGAGAGUUUGGGGUUGACUUUAAAGUUAGAAGUGCAGUUGGGCCAUUGAGAAACAAUCCUCUGACUCAUGUCAGAUUGUUAUAAUUAUUUAAUGCCCACAAUGCAGCCUUGUCCCCACGGAUUUAUAAUGGAGAGGUUUCUUACCCACACAUUGUGGUUAUUAGCUGCAAAGAAAGCAGCAUUUGUUUAUAAUGACACAGGGUAUAUCAGUGUGGCAAAGAAAACACUACAGAUUCUGUCCCAGGAAGAAGGCAGGAAUUUGGCAGGCAACCUAUAGGAAAUUAGAAGACAUGGUCUCAUUAUUUCUCCUACAUGUGGGUAGUCCCAUACAAUAGCCAUUAAACACCUUUGACUUGUAACCUCUGCCCCAAACUCCUGUUAUGGUGAAAGUGCAUAUCCACUUUCAUCCACAGAGUACACAGUGCACAGCUGCAGUGUUCAGGGUACCACCUACCCCUUAGAGACUCUGUUGUUUAGCGUUGUAUCCUGUUGCUCUUAAAUCUGCGGCCACUGACCUUGCCUGUGGGAUUUAGAGCUGGGGAAAACAGAGCAGUGGGUAAAGUGCCUGCUGCACACCCAGUGACGGACUUACUCAGAGCCCUAGAUCUCACGAAAUGCCAUCGUGCCAUCCUCUAGAACAGAUCUCUAGAGCCCCAGAGGUAGCACGAGGAAACAGGGGAUCCCUGGGGCCUCACUGACCAGGCGGUGUAGUGCAAAGAGAGAGGUCCAGUGAGAUCUUGUCUCCAAAAUAAGGUGGUGAAGCCAUUGAAGAAACAAGUUAUCCCGACCCCAAUCAGUACCAUCUAACAUGUGGCUACAUAGGCAAGUGUACAAGCAUAUGAGGUCUGGAUAGUUCUGACAUCCCACACCUCAUCAAACUCUUCCAGAGACU